GGAAGGUGUCCGGUUGGUCGAGGAAACUGUCUUGAAAACAGCUGGGGUGUAAAAGCCUUCGUGGGUUCGAUUCCCUCACCUUCCGCCA
rnacentral:tRNA from 1 species